UUUACGGAGAAAGCUUUAUGCACCAUUGGAUGAGCCUGCACUUGAUUAGUUUGUUGGUGGGGUAAUGGCCUACCAAGACUGUGAUCAAUAGCUGAUUUGAGAGGAUGAUCAGCCACAUUGGGACUGAGACACGGCCCAAACUCCUACGGGAGGCAGCAGUGGGGAAUCUUGCACAAUGGAGGAAACUCUGAUGCAGCGAUGCCGCGUGAGUGAAGAAGGCCCUUGGGUUGUAAGC
rnacentral:rRNA from 1 species